AUAUUCUAGCGGCGGACGGGUGAGUAACGCGUGAGCAAUCUGUCCCAGACAGGGGGAUAACAGAUGGAAACAUCUGCUAAUACCGCAUAAGACCACAGCACCGCAUGAUACAGUGAUCAAAGGAGCAAUCCGCUGAAAGAUGGGCUCGCGUCCGAUUAGAUAGUUGGUGAGGUAACGGCUCACCAAGUCGACGAUCGGUAGCCGACCUGAGAGGGUGAUCGGCCACAUUGGGACUGAGACACGGCCCAAACUCC
rnacentral:rRNA from 1 species